rnacentral:rRNA from 1 species
AGUGAACGCUGGCGGUAGGCCUAACACAUGCAAGUCGAACGGCAGCACAGGAGAGCUUGCUCUCUGGGUGGCGAGUGGCGGACGGGUGAGGAAUACAUCGGAAUCUACUUUUUCGUGGGGGAUAACGUAGGGAUACUUACGCUAAUACCGCAUACGACCUACGUGUGAAAGCAGGGGAUCUUCGGACCUUGCGCGAUUGAAUGAGCCGAUGUCGGAUUAGCUAGUUGGCGGGGUAAAGGCCCACCAAGGCGACGAUCCGUAGCUGGUCUGAGAGGAUGAUCAGCCACACUGGAACUGGGACACGGUCCAGACUCCUACGGGAGGCAGCAGUGGGGAAUAUUGGACAAUGGGCGCAAGCCUGAUCCAGCCAUACCGCGUGGGUGAAGAAGGCCUUCGGGUUGUAAAGCCCUUUUGUUGGGAAAGAAAUCCAGCUGGUUAAUACCCGGUUGGGAUGACGGUACCCAAAGAAUAAGCACCGGCUAACUUCGUGCCAGCAGCCGCAGUAA